rnacentral:rRNA from 1 species
GACGAACGCUGGCGGCGUGCUUAACACAUGCAAGUCGAACGGUAAGGCCCUUCGGGGUACACGAGUGGCGAACGGGUGAGUAACACGUGGGUGAUCUGCCCUGCACUUCGGGAUAAGCCUGGGAAACUGGGUCUAAUACCGGAUAGGACCACUGCCUGCAUGGGUGGUGGUGGAGAGCUUUUGCGGUGUGGGAUGGGCCCGCGGCCUAUCAGCUUGUUGGUGGGGUGAUGGCCUACCAAGGCGACGACGGGUAGCCGGCCUGAGAGGGUGACCGGCCACACUGGGACUGAGAUACUGCCCAGACUCCUACGGGAGGCAGCAGUGGGGAAUAUUGCACAAUGGGCGCAAGCCUGAUGCAGCGACGCCGCGUGAGGGAUGACGGCCUUCGGGUUGUAAACCUCUUUCAGCACCGACGAAGCGCAAGUGACGGUAGCUAUAGAAGAAGCCCCGGCUAAAUUCGUGCCAGCCGCCGCAGUAA